CAGAGAAAUCGUUAAGCAUCCCACCUGGGAGUACGCCGGCAACGGUGAAACUCAAAGGAAUUGACGGGGGCCCGCACAAGCGGAGGAACAUGUGGUUUAAUUCGAUGAUACGCGAGGAACCUUUACCCGGGCUUGAACUGCAGCGGAAGGAUACAGAGAUGUUGACGCCCUUCGGGGCCGCUGUGGAGGCGCUGCAUGGUUGUCGUCAGCUCGUGCCGUGAGGUGUCGGCUUAAGUGCCAUAACGAGCGCAACCCUUUCCGUUAGUUGCCAUCAGGUAAUGCUGGGCACUCUGGCGGUACUGCCACCGUAAGGUGUGAGGAAGGUGGGGAUGACGUCAAAUCAGCACGGCCCUUACGUCCGGGGCUACACACGUGUUACAAUGGGGGGUACAGAGAGUCGGGUGCCGGCAACGUCACCCCAAUCAUGAAAGCCCUCCUCAGUUCGGAUUGGGGUCUGCAACCCGACCCCAUGAAGCUGGAUUCGCUAGUAAUCGCGCAUCAGCCAUGGCGCGGUGAAUACGUUCCCGGACCUUGUACACACCGCCCGUCAAGCCAUGAAAGCCGGGGGCGCCUGAAGUCCGUGACCGCGAGGGUCGGCCUAGGGUGAAACCGGUGAUUGGGGCUAAGUCGUAACAAGGUAGCCG
rnacentral:rRNA from 1 species